AGCAUGACUGUGAGAUCUCAGAUAUCCGGCUGUCACAGAGGAAGUGGAAAUUUUCAACCAUGAAUGUCGUCAUCUUUUCAAUGUGAAGGUUUGCUACUGCCAAAUAAGAAACACCAUUUUGUUUUCAGAUGAAAACUAAUGUGAGGUCAAGGAACCAGCCUGCUGUCGGCUGGCACAACCACUCCUGCAGCCUGGGCUUCAGAUUCUCCCUGUAGCUGCAGGCAUUAAAUUAUGAUGAAGGCCACAGAAAAAUAAUUAAGGUCAAAGUCUAGAAUCAAGUGUCAGCCUAUGUUAUGGACAUCACAUUUAUGUACCAUUGGGUCAUGAGGGUGGAGUGCUCAUGAAUGGAAUUAGUGACCUUAUGAAAGAGAGACUAGAGAGCUGUCUCAUCCCUUCUGCUGUGUGAGGACCUGGUGAAAAGAUGUCAGGUAUGAAACAGAAAGCGAGGCCUCAGCAGACACUGCAUCUUAUAGUGCCUUGAUCUUGGACUUUCCAGCCUCCAGAACUG